CUUGCUGUGUGUUUUCUAAAAACACUUACCUGACAGUUUAUUAGACACACUACCGUGUUCGCUCACGUUGUACAGUAGGCAUACGGUACAACGAGCCGAGUCUUUAGCUCACGGCGUGUGUGUGUUCUCUAGGCUUCAGUCAGUUUGCCGGAUAUUUUUGGCCCGUGGACUUUUCUUGACCCGGCAGUGCUGGCAAGGAAAAGAAUUCAAGCCAGAGUGAGGGUGACUAACAGAAAACAAAUGAGAGAGAGAGAAGAAGAAGAAGGAAAACAGAGAGAUGUGGGUCAAGAGGAAAGAGAUAAUCAGAUAGACGGAAGUGUUCAAUCAAGCAGAACGAGCAGGAAUCCCUCUGUGGUUAAGGGAAACACCGUUGAACCAGCGCGCGCACACACACA
ensembl:lncRNA